GCGUUAGGGGUGGUUGGUCAAAGGGAUGUCGGACGGUGUAAGCGGAUGGUGGAUCAACGUUGAAUUUGUGCUCUAACGAGGGAAUAUUCCUUCGUAGAAAAGAUUUCGUCGCAGAAUCUUUUUCGAGUCCAUAUUUUUCCCCUCCGAAGAAUUAAAUGCAGUCGAGAAAGAAAAAUAAGGUUCAAUAAUUUCGUUGACCGUGUUCUUGGUUAUCGAACUAAUGUUAAUUUUGAUUGCAUUUAGUAUCAAAAAUUAUAUAUGUACCUUAAUAUGUGUCGCAAUACGGUGAAUGGGAUUGGGAACGAUAAGGAAAGGAGAGGUGUGUUAAUCGAUGUCGAAGAAGAAGAGGAAGGAAAAGGAGAUACGGAAGAUGAAGAAGUGCGAGAGAUAUACAAAACUAAUUAAAGGCGUAGGCAGUUCCAAUACCCAGGAAGUAUUGCAAAGGACCUGAAUCGACCGAUAUCCGGAUUGUAAUUCCAAAGAAGAUACGAGAAUUUUAACUACGCUCAACUUGACACUUAAAUAUGAGACAUCCAAAGAGAAACAUAUUUACCUGGUCUUCCUGUUCUUCUGUACAUCCGAUAACAAGUCCUACAUGGAUAAUACAAACGUCAGACCAUCAACCAGAUCAAGGUUUUUGAAGCAACCCAUCGGCGGCGAAUACGCUCUAAAUGGUAGCUGAUAAUCGUAUCAUCGAAUUGUCUGCUUUGUUUCACUGGAGAAAAACUAACGAAAAAAGACCUUUUUCGUUUUCGAAAUAAGAGAGAAGAUGUACGCAACAUGCAUGCAAUAUCGAGCCCUCGAUCCCGCCAACUUGAACUACCGCACAUGUAGGGAGAGAGGUAAUAAAUAAUAGAUUAAUAUGAUAAGGCUGGACGAUAUGUACGAGGGAAUGUAUUACGUCCGUGCAGAUCAUUAAAUCCCGAUCAAUACCAGUUAACAAGCUAAUUCGUAGACAUAGGAGAUCAUAUAUUUUUGUCAAAUAUCAAAAUGUCGUCCUUUAUAAUGCCUUACGAUGUCUGUGAUAAAUGUUGAAGCUAUUUUCUUCCAACACUAUCAUUCGUCUCAUUAUGUAUGAGAUCUCUUCGUUUUCUCGUUGGAUGACAUCACUAUCACUGCUAUCUCUCCCGAUUAAUAUUUAGUUUUUCUAACGUAUCCGUAUAAAUGUGUAUACCUGUAAUUCCCCUUCGGCAUUACAUAUGACUCGAAACUCUUGUUUGUAAAUUUUGCCAUGCUCAACGAAAAAGAAAUAAGUAAGUAAACGGUAUGGUAGUCUCAAAUUGUAGAUUAGGAAAUAACGAAGCGAUAUAUACAAAAUGAAUAUUACUAUUCUGAUUUCCUGAAUUAUUAGUCGAGGGAUCUAUCUGUACUACUCGAUGUUUCAAUACCAAGUGAGUUCAGCUUUGAAAAUCUCUUAAUCCCAGUUUUAUCAAUACUUGUUUACUUCACCAAAUGUCAGCAUGUUAAACGAGGUCUACUCGCAUACCAUUGCAAACAAGUCCAUCUUAUCUCAGAAUGUAAAACUGUCAAACGUAUCUGGUAAAACUGACUGAUAUUCAUUUCAUGUAUCUAGGAAUUAGAUUUCUUUUGCUACUUCAAUAGAAAAAUCCAGAGAGACGUGCAUGUCUUGCAAAAAAAUAUGGCGAUGCAAUCACUCGAUCUUCUCAAAUAACUCACAAACUCUGUAGUUCUUUCGGAGGGGAAAUACGUGAAAGAGAAGAAGGUAAUAUUGACAAACGAAAAAAUAUGACGAAAGAUUUUCUUUGAGUACAUGUUUUUUAUUAUUUCUUUGAAUACAUAUUUUUAUCAUAUAAUAUUAUUGUAAAAUAACGGAAAUGAAUUCUUCGAUAACUUAAGAUAUAUAUUUUUUUACAAAAGAGAGGGUAAUAUUUGGAGAAAAUGUUUCCAAGGAAUCUGAAAGUAGAUACAACUUCCGACGAAAAAAUUUUUUUUCAUCGGAAGAUUUUACAAAAAGAAUUACAUAGUACGGAAAUUGUAAUAUCAUUAAUAUUUGGUAACAUUAGAAAACUGUUUUUAAGUAUGACUAGGGAUAAGAAAGAAAGAAA